AGCGAAUGGAUUAAGAGCUUGCUCUUAUGAAGUUAGCGGCGGACGGGUGAGUAACACGUGGGUAACCUGCCCAUAAGACUGGGAUAACUCCGGGAAACCGGGGCUAAUACCGGAUAACAUUUUGAACCGCAUGGUUCGAAAUUGAAAGGCGGCUUCGGCUGUCACUUAUGGAUGGACCCGCGUCGCAUUAGCUAGUUGGUGAGGUAACGGCUCACCAAGGCAACGAUGCGUAGCCGACCUGAGAGGGUGAUCGGCCACACUGGGACUGAGACACGGCCCAGACUCCUACGGGAGGCAGCAGUAGGGAAUCUUCCGCAAUGGACGAAAGUCUGACGGAGCAACGCCGCGUGAGUGAUGAAGGCUUUCGGGUCGUAAAACUCUGUUGUUAGGGAAGAACAAGUGCUAGUUGAAUAAGCUGGCACCUUGACGGUACCUAACCAGAAAGCCACGGCUAACUACGUGCCAGCAGCCGCGGUAAUACGUAGGUGGCAAGCGUUAUCCGGAAUUAUUGGGCGUAAAGCGCGCGCAGGUGGUUUCUUAAGUCUGAUGUGAAAGCCCACGGCUCAACCGUGGAGGGUCAUUGGAAACUGGGAGACUUGAGUGCAGAAGAGGAAAGUGGAAUUCCAUGUGUAGCGGUGAA
rnacentral:rRNA from 2 species